GAUGAAGAACGUAGCGAAAUGCGAUAAGUAGUGUGAAUUGCAGAAUUCAGUGAAUCAUCGAAUCUUUGAACGCACAUUGCGCCCUUUGGUAUUCCUUAGGGCAUGCCUGUUCGAGCGUCAUUUAAACCUUCAAGCUCAGCUUGGUGAUGGGUGACUGUCCUCCCCUCGCGGGGGGACUCGCCUCAAAAACAUUGGCGGCCGGUACAUUGGCUUCGAGCGCAGCAGAAACGCGGUCUCGAGCCCGGUGGAUCGGCUCCCAUAAGUCUAUUCUUUUAUUUUGACCUCGGAUCAGGUAUGGAUACCCGCUGAACUUAAGCAUAUCAAUAAGCGGAGGA
rnacentral:misc_RNA from 1 species